rnacentral:tRNA from 1 species
UGGGUUGUGGCUCAAUUGUUAAGAGUUCUUGCCUAGCAGGUGUGAGGCACUGGGUUCAAUCCCCAGCACCACAU